rnacentral:sRNA from 1 species
AUAAAUUUCGGCUAAGUCGGGAUUUAUUAGGUUAGAGGACUAAUUAUAUGGCACGAAUUGCAGGAAUUAAUAUCCCCGAU